CGCAGAGGGAGCCCCUGGGAGCGGGCCCGUCCCCGGCCGCGCUGCGGCAGCCCCGCAGCAGCACUGACCGUGCGCGGCGCCGCAGCCCCUGCCUCAGCCCCGGCGCUGCCGACCGCCAACCGACCGUUCCGCCAUGAUGGAAUGCGGGCACUGCGCCUGCGCCGCCGCCAGCCGGGGGCGGGCGGGCGCGCCAACCACAGGCCGGGACGAUCUUCGUCUUCAUCCACCCUCUCCCGCGAAAAGAGACGCGGGGGGGCGGCGGAGAGCCCACAGCCGCUCUUGCCUGUCUUCGGACCAUCCCGAGCCCUCAGCAGCGCCAAACCCGGCUCUGAAAGGAUCAAGGGCAGAGGCUGAAAAAACACAGCACGAGCUGAACAGCCCCUCUGGCACAUCCAUUUUCUCUGGCAAUUAAUAUAGCAAUAAAUUUUGUGCUCUUCAGCU